rnacentral:rRNA from 1 species
CGGGACACGUGGUAUCCUGUCUGAAUAUGGGGGGACCAUCCUCCAAGGCUAAAUACUCCUGACUGACCGAUAGUGAACCAGUACCGUGAGGGAAAGGCGAAAAGAACCCCGGCGAGGGGAGUGAAAAAGAACCUGAAACCGUGUACGUACAAGCAGUGGGAGCACAGAGCAAUCUGUGUGACUGCGUACCUUUUGUAUAAUGGGUCAGCGACUUAUAUUCUGUAGCAAGGUUAACCGAAUAGGGGAGCCGAAGGGAAACCGAGUCUUAACUGGGCGUUAAGUUGCAGGGUAUAGACCCGAAACCCGGUGAUCUAGCCAUGGGCAGGUUGAAGGUUGGGUAACACUAACUGGAGGACCGAACCGACUAAUGUUGAAAAAUUAGCGGAUGACUUGUGGCUGGGGGUGAAAGGCCAAUCAAACCGGGAGAUAGCUGGUUCUCCCCGAAAGCUAUUUAGGUAGCGCCUCGUGAAUUCAUCUCCGGGGGUAGAGCACUGUUUCGGCAAGGGGGUCAUCCCGACUUACCAACCCGAUGCAAACUACGAAUACCGGAGAAUGUUAUCACGGGAGACACACGGCGGGUGCUAACGUCCGUCGUGAAGAGGGAAACAACCCAGACCGCCAGCUAAGGUCCCAAAGUCAUGGUUAAGUGGGAAACGAUGUGGGAAGGCCCAGACAGCCAGGAUGUUGGCUUAGAAGCAGCCAUCAUUUAAAGAAAGCGUAAUAGCUCACUGGUCGAGUCGGCCUGCGCGGAAGAUGUAACGGGGCUAAACCAUGCACCGAAGCUGCGGCAGCGACGCUGAUGCGUUGUUGGGUAGGGGAGCGUUCUGUAAGCCUGCGAAGGUGUGCUGUGAGGCAUGCUGGAGGUAUCAGAAGUGCGAAUGCUGACAUAAGUAACGAUAAAGCGGGUGAAAAGCCCGCUCGCCGGAAGACCAAGGGUUCCUGUCCAACGUUAAUCGGGGCAGGGUGAGUCGACCCCUA